UCCUCUGUAGUUCAGUCGGUAGAACGGCGGACUGUUAAUCCGUAUGUCAAUGGUUCGAGUCCAGUCAGAGGAGCCA
rnacentral:tRNA from 1 species